UUUUUUAAAAAAAUCUCACAAAAUACUUAAUAUCCCUUCCCCCCACAAAAAAAAAAAAAAAAAUAGGUAAAAGUUUACUUGAUAUUUUAAAAAAAAAAAAACACUGAAAUGGGUAACGGGACAUUUUAAUCCGAUAGGGAUAAUUCGAGAAUGUAUCCGAAUUAGUUCCCGAACUCAUCCCCCACAUGCCGAAUUGGUUCCCGUUUGAAAAAGGUACUUUAUGAAGGUGAACCUAAUUGGCUUCCGUUUAACAUCAACAUGUGUACAACAAAUACAAUAAAUUUAGGUAUAAUGCAGUAUAUUUUUAAACUUUUAUUUAACUUGCAUCAUACUACGGCGGGUAUUUUACAGUUAUGAAGAUAAUAAAAUAAUGUUAAAUUGGCGUAUUGCCAGAAUACCGCAAUCGAUUAAGAUAACUCCAUCUGUCAAUCCAUCUGAGUAUACGUAUCUAUAUGGCUAUGUAUACCGAAUAUAAAAUACAGAAAUGUUUCUACUAUAAAAGCUAAGUAAUUCUAAGUUGAAAGUCCUAAGUUUGUAAGAAUGGGAAGGAAAAUGUGCGUAUUUGACUAACUUACUGCGAACAAUGUGAAUCAAUUCGACUGGUAGUGGAUACAUCACAAAUUUAAAUGGGCUCACCUUCAUAAAAUACCUUUUUUCAAACGGGAAUCAAUUCGGCUAAAUGGGAGCCAAUUCGGAUACAUCCAAAUUCCCAAUUUGAUCCUAUUAUAUGGACUUAUUCUUUCACCGAAUCAAAAUGUCAACUUAUCUGGAAACGCAGUAAGAAUAUAUUAAAAUAUUUUAGAAAUAUAAUACAAUUAAAUAUGCCCGAAUAAAAUAACACGGCUAUAAUUAAUAAGUAAUCUUAAAAUUAGAUUAAUAAUAUUAUGUUUUCAAUGUGCAUAAUAUAAUCACUUGAAAUCUAAG